rnacentral:rRNA from 1 species
AGGCAGCAGUGGGGAAUCUUGCGCAAUGGCCGAGAGGCUGACGCAGCGACGCCGCGUGGGGGAUGAAGCAUUUCGGUGUGUAAACCCCUGUUGCUCGGGACGAACGACCCUUUUCGAGGGGUGUGACGGUACCGAGUGAGGAAGCACCGGCUAACUCCGUGCCAGCAGCCGCGGUAAUACGGAGGGUGCGAGCGUUGUCCGGAAUCACUGGGCGUAAAGGGCGCGUAGGUGGUUGGAUGCGCCGGUGGUGAAAGCGCAGGGCUCAACCCUGCGUCGGCCAUCGGGACGGUCCGACUGGAGCACUGUAGAGGCAGGUGGAAUUCCGGGUGUAGCGGUGGAAUGCGUAGAGAUCCGGAAGAACACCGGUGGCGAAGGCGGCCUGCUGGGCAGUUGCUGACACUGAGGCGCGACAGCGUGGGGAGCAAACAGGAUUAGAUACCCUGGUAG